rnacentral:ribozyme from 1 species
ACGUCAUUAGUCAUAAGAUAUGAUGAAGAUGAAUUUUCAACAAAAUAUAUGACAACGAUUGGUGUCGACUACCGGGAUAAAUUUAUUCAAGUAGAAGGUCGAGAAAUCAAGUUACAAAU